rnacentral:rRNA from 1 species
GCAAGUCGAACGAUGAUUAAGAGCUUGCUCUUAUGAUUAGUGGCGGACGGGUGAGUAAUAUAUAGGGAUCUGCCUGUUAGUGGGGGACAACAGCCGGAAACGGCUGCUAAUACCGCAUACGCUCUACAGACGAAAGUGGGGGACCGUCGGACCUCACGCUACCAGAUGAACCUAUAUCAGAUUAGCUAGUUGGUGGGGUAAAGGCCUACCAAGGCGACGAUCUGUAGCUGGUUUGAGAGAAUGAUC